rnacentral:rRNA from 1 species
GGGUCAGUAGGUUGGUCGUGCCACCGGUACGUACUGGUCUCACUGAUUCCUCCUUCCUGAAGAACCGUAAUGCCAUUAAUUUGGUGUUGCGGGGAGACGGGACUGUUACUUUGAAAAAAUUAGAGUGUUUAGAGCAAGCUAACGCUUGAAUACAUUAGCAUGGAAUAAUGAAAUAGGACGAUCGAUCCUAUUUUGUUGGUUUCUAGGAUUGACGUA